ACAAUUCGAUAUUAUAAAAAAAAAAGAUUUGAAUUUCAUAAAAAAUGUUAACAAAAUGGAAAACCUACCUUGCAAAUGACUUUCUUUGCCUUUACAUUUGUUUUUUACCGAUGCUGAUACCGAAUUUUGAUAUCCAUAUGUAGUGUAAAGUACAAUUCGUUGAGCAAUUUCAAUUGUUUUGACCUUGAUAUUUUCAGAAUCACAAGGUCAAUCUUUCUGCGAGUUCAAGCCUGCACCAUUUACAUACGUCUGCACUGACCAGAAUGUAACAAAUACAAAUCAAAUCUACAUUGAUACCAAGCAACGCACAAUCUACCAGCAAACGUCGUGCAAAUGUGUUAUAACGCCCACCACUCAAAGUUCUAAACUUCAGCUAAUUUUGCUUAAUUUGACCAAACGAAGAAAUAGUCUACAAUUUCAAAUUAAUAACAUUAACGUAGGCAAAUUCAACACCCUUGGUAAAACAAGAUUAACAGGGCCUUCGGAGCUUCUAUUUUCUACUCUAGAAAAUUAUGAUAGAGAUAGAGUUUGCCUAUUUGUUUUUACAACUGAUAGAUCAAACUUCAACAUUUCUUGUUCGAGACCAAUACCAGAGGUACAUAAACAGACAAGCCAAGCAACUUCUUCGCAAUGGAAUCAAACAAAAGAUUAUACCACUUUAAAACCAACCUAUUCUACAAUGCAAGCGUCAAUAGACACAGAAUACGGAGACAUAGCUAUAAAAAAGUAUUUAUUGAUGUAUUGACAAUUAUAAUUUUUCUAAUUCUAGACCUCAUCCCUUCUUAUUAUAUCGGAAAUAUUACAGUAAUACCUGUUGACCAUAUGGUACACACAAAUGUGUAACUUGUUUAAGAAAAGAGCGAUCGUUUCUCUCAUUAUCAUUUCUCUUUUUUAAGGAUAAAUGUAAAUAUAUUCACUUCGGUGGUACCAUAGAACCCCAUGCUAUAUAAAAGUGAUAGAUUUAAUCAAUUA